rfam:Gossypium hirsutum cultivar TM-1 chromosome 9, whole genome shotgun sequence
CCUGGGGGAGUGCUUUGUCCACGUCAGCAAAAACUGCGUCCUUGAGGGCGUGCUUUGCUAACGUGGACAAAGCGCUCCCCCAGGG